rnacentral:lncRNA from 1 species
GCAGUUUUAUCAUAUAUGUAAAACAAAAUACUGUUUUGCAUUCGAUAUACAAAAAUGGAAAUUACAGACAUCCAAUAAGGUUGGAACUUAUAAUUUAUAAGCAUUGCACAAGGAUCAUACUUUUAAGACUAGAGUACUUGGAAUUUCAGCUGUGUUUACCUGUGCAGAAUAAUGCUAUACAAAAAUUUGUGGCUAUGGCUUAGGGAGACUGCCUUAGGAAAAGAAUAAUUAUAUGUUGAGAAAAAUACACACUAGUCAACAAUUUUAUCAUACGGUUGUCCAUCUCAAAGCAGGGAUUCCAUUCUUUUGAAACCAUUCUGGCAUAUGGAAUCUUUCAUACAGAAUAGGUCUUACGUCCUUUUGCUGAGAAAGAUGCUUGAGAAGUGGAAGGAUGACUUCCAAAAGCUGAGUGGGGCACAUAGAGGAACAAUUGAGUUAUUAGAGAGGACAGAUAGAGUACGAAGCACUUAUAAUUUUCUCAAGUUAUUCCAGGUACCUGUUCGUCGCAUGGUUGUCCAGCAGAAAAUGGAAUGCAUGGAAUUCCAUUCAAUGGUUGCAACAAGAAGCUGAAUGGGUUGUUAUCAACAAUAACAACUCGGCUUAGAUCCUUUGAUAUGCAUGAAAGGUCUUUCACAUGUUCACGAUAUUCACUGCAAGUUAUAAAUAGAUGAACAUAGUGAGUUCACAGUACAGAAAGCGCAGCAUGAUAGAAUAUGCAUCACAAAACAGUUUAGUGACCAGUUUCUGAAAUUAUUUUUUAUUGACCAGCCAUCACUAAAUUUUGAUGGAAGAAAAAGAAGAAAAUACAAAUCAUAAACUAUGCGAUUAGUGCAGAAAAAAGGCACAAAAACUACAGUUCUAUUUAAAUCCUCAUGAAAGGAAAGGAAUAGCAAAAUAAACCCAUGCACUAAGAAACCACAGGAAAAUAGUACUCAACACUUUGUUGAAGGCUUAAAGAUAGUGUAGGAUCCUCAGAAUUUGGCAAGUGCGCUGCAGAUCAGAUAUAAAAAACACAGGGUUGGAGUUUUUUCUUUGCUUUCUAAUUAUGAAGCAUUCGUGCAUUUUAACCUUUCUAAUAAGUGCAUCCUUGAGUAGGAGUGGGUGAAGUGCACCCUCUGAAAAUUUCAAUGGAUGUAGAAAAACGCGCCAUGUGGAGUGGUCAAUUUUGUUAUGUUGCAAUGUCUAUCAGGAAAACUCAAACCACCGCCACAAAGUAGGGGUAGCAAAAGGGCCAAGCCGUUUGCUGUAUAGGCUCAUCUUGGCUUGAACCACGGGCAGCUUGAGCUCAUUUUAAGACAAGCCAUGGAUUGAGCCAAGUUCACUUUUGUUUACAUGAGCCUAGUGGGCUCGGUUUGUGAGGCACACGAAUCAGCUUGAGGGUUGGCUCAUUUAUUUUUUACUUACUUUAUUAUUUAAAAAAAAAAAAAAAAGGAUUAAGCCAUCUCACGGACGAGCCCAUGGGCCGAAUCGAGUUCUUAUUCUAGAUACAAGUCGAGCUUGAAUAUUUAAAGGUCGAGCCGGCUUGGUUCGAUCUAUUUGGAAAAUGGGCCAAGCCAUUUGAGGGCUCCGCUCAUCCUUACUCGAUCCAUGAACAGCACAAGCUAGUUUUGAAAUGAAUCAAUAGACAGAGUCGAGAUCACAUUUUUUUCACAAGCCAGCUUGCUUGGGCUCGUUGGUACAAUCCUGCAAGCUGACUCGUUUGGGGGGCCAACUCUUUUUUUCCUCUUUGGACUUGUUUUAUUUAAAAAAAUAAUAAUAAUAAAUAAAAUAAAAUAAAAUUGAGCCUACUCAUGGGCGGUUCAACUCAACCAAUGAGGCCCAUAAGCCAAAGGGCCAACCGGAUCUUAGGAUUUGGACACAAUCCAAGCCAAGCUUGGGUGUCUACGGGCCAAACAGGCUGUGCUCGACCCAUCGCAACCCCUAUAUUCACAUACCAGUGCAUCAGUGUUUUGUACAACUGUACUCUUUUACAAAUAUUUUGUUGACAAAAGUUAAACUAGGUAAAUUAUGUUAAUUUGAUUCCUCUUACAAGUGGUAAAAUAUUUUAGUUAAUUCGAAAUUAGUGGUCUUGAGAAAAAUGUUCACUUUUAAAUUUAUUUAUCUAAAAUAUUAUUUUAUAUGGCUUGGAUCCGUGAAUCAUUUUUGAAUUCCACCAUUGAAAAGAAAAGGCAGAUAAAAUUCCUAAUUACAGACAAAUAAAAUUCUUCAACCCCAAACAACUGCUACCCUGUUCACCACCAAAACCAGUCAUCACAUCCCCUAGUAAUUGAAAAUUUUAACAGGACUUCCCUACAACUUAAUAUCCAGUUGAUUAAAUUAAGUUAAAAUAUCUUGUUGUAUUGCUUCUAUAGUGAUCCAAUGGUUGUCAAUUCUUGGUGAUUCUGAUGUUAGGUGGACAGCAGAAGUAGGGAUUUGUGAUUUUGGUGGCAGUGGAAGAGUUAACGAAUGUGUUUUCCAUUUUAUGGCUAAUAUGAUUGCUGCUGUUAUGAGAUGAAAUACAUUUGGUGAGGAAGUGAUGCGUGAAGCAAUCGGUGAAAAGAAGUGGAAAGUAGCAACAGGAAUGAUAGAUAGCGGCCACCAGUAAUAGUCUAUUGUAUUUAUUGAUGUGAGUGGCAUGUCGAAGACAUUUCUUUUAAAAAACCAAAAACUUUAACAUCUGAGCUGUUAAUCUCCAGGAAUUUAUAGGCCAAAAAAAGUUACAAAUUUGUUUAAUUUGGUCAUCUUACUUCCAGGUUCUAACGGGGAGGAAAUUCAACAAAAUAAAAGGGCAUAUUAAUAUCUGAGCUAUACUUACGUACUAAUUGUCGAAGGCCGAUAAAGUCUAUGGGUGAAUAAAUUGUCAACAUCUAUUCUGUCAACAAGAGGUCUAGCAUAUCCUGCAAGAAUAAAACAAAGGGAAUCCAGAGCAACUGUAAAUAAAAUCUUCAAAGAAAUACAGGUGAAAAGAAGCAACAUGGAGUAAUGAAAAACCUUCAAGUCCCGCAGUAAAUAAGACAAGAUCUGCAAAUUCACUUAGAAGUUUUAGAAAUUCUUUCAGUCCAGGACGUUCAAACACCGUCACAUAGUUGAUCUUAGGUUUGCCUUCAACAUCCUUGGAAUCCCACCAAAGAAAACAAAUGUGUGAAAGGAAGAUAAAUAUUAUAUUGAUUUUAGACAUUUUGCUCAAUCAUUCAUAUCUGAAAUAAAUCAUAAUUCACCUUGUCAGAAGAGAUGCAUUCCAGUUCAAACCACUUCAAACCAGCUUCUGUUGCUUGAGCACGUAUUAUAGCAGGCAAACUCAAUGUUUCAUAUGCACAUACCAGAGUUUCGUCCAAGUCAAGAACCACCUGCUUCCAGUACAUAGGUGAGACCACAAAGCAAUUCGAUUUGAAUGGAAGCACUUUUAAACAGCAAGGAAAUUUAGACUUCCUAUGAACAACAAAAUGAAUACUUAAUCAGAACAGACACAUUGUCCACCUAUUCAACUCGUAGAAAUUGACCCAGAUUUAGUAACCACUACCUGAUCCUUUCUAUUUUCUGUUUCAAUUUUACACGUAGUAUUCUAGUACUGCAAGCAUUCAGAAUAAGUCUAAAUUUUGUCCCUGCCCUCUAAUUAAAGUAUAGAGAGAAGUGGACGAGACCCAAUUCAGAAAAGCACAAAAAAUAGACAACAGGAAAGAAAAAGCGAAAAGGUGUGGUGUUGCAUGACCGUACACAUCACCGUGACCUAUAAUUCACCGCAAUUAAGCUAUGCAUGAGCAGAAUUUUGUCCACCAUACAAAUCGUUACAACAUUAUGCAUUGAAGCCACAUUUACGAUCCUGUUGAUCCUACACAUAUGACAUAUGCUUUCCCGUAUAAUACAUCCAAAUGGGUAAAACCACAGUUAACUUAAAGUUUAUAUAAAUUCACAGGCCCUUGGUUAAACUUCAUUGUAGAGUGGUUAACAUGGUAGUCUUUUUUCUUCCCUGGAAUGGCUGCAAUAGAUAAUUAAAUAAACAAGAAAUUCAAACAAGUAACAUUGCCAACAUUGGAAGACUGAAAUUAUCUUCAACCGGAGGCUAUCCCCACACUGGAAAACCACAAAAUUAUGUCAAACACUUAAUAUGAAAUUCUUUUCAAACCCGAACCAUCCCAAUCCCAAAGAGUAAGUUCGCCAAUGUUCUUAUAUGUUUAAAUUAGUUCAAUUGGGAACAAGGAUAUCUUUAUCAAAUUACUGUGCUUUGGCCAUGUGAACAGUAAAGAAAGAAGCAAAACUUCUCCUUGUCUGACUUUAUUAAAUAAUUGAAUGAGAUCUCAACAUCCCCUUUUAAUUUUACAGUGGAAAUGAUAAAAGAUCUAAUUCUAUAAACAUAUAUGAAUAGUGAAUAAUACAACAAACAUAGGAGAGAAAGAAGAUCUGCGACCCCUGUGGAAGACAAAAGAAAAGAAAGAACAAAUCGACAUAGUUCAAAGAAGCAUUAUGCCAUGCUUAUGUGGGGUCAAUUACGUGGAACCUAUUCUCCAAUUCAACUUAAUUCAACACUAUUUAGUUCUCUUCAACUAACAUUGCACCCACCCAUGUCCACUACAAUGUCAAGCUCAAGCGAACAAACACCUCCAAAAUCAGACAAAACUGAUCACUGACUAUUAAAUACUCCUAAAUUUCCAAAAGAACAUGUUUCUCUCGAUAGUUUACCAUCAUUUUCGAUCAAGAAUCUUAAAAUAGUAAAAUAAACUGAAUGACACAGAAAUUUAACUCAAUCAUUUCGACAACUCUAAUUCAACCAUAUAAUAACAUUUCCACAUUCAGUUUCAAGCAUGUACACAUUCACAAACAAAAUCAUACUAGUAACUAACUUAACCAGAUAUUUUUUUAAAUCCAAUCAAAUUCAUAUCAAUUCAAAUUUCAAAACCUUAACUCAAAAGAAGAAAUUGUUAGCAUCUCAAAAGGACUAUGAGGUGUCUUUGAUGCAUUCACGCACAAAAAACCCAACCAUUACUUUGGUAUUUGUUAGCUCACAACACAUGGAGAUAGGAAGUCAGUGAAUGAUUUAUGUCAUUGUUAAAACGUGUGUUAUAACUUUAGCAAUUUCCUGCAUAGCUCUACAAAUCCACAGUGGUGUGAAUAUUUGAAGGAUAUAUUUCAGCCUCUGUUUGUGAAGAAUUUACAAACAGUUUAAUUAUAAAUAGAUAGAAAUAAGUUAUGGAUAAGUGGAUCAUACUUGUGGGUCCACUAGAAUGUAGUGUUAAAAAUGAUGUUUGACCAAUUUAUAAAUGAUUUAUAAUUAUAAUUUGACAAAUAGAUUCUUAGCAAUGAAAAAUACAACUGUUCUUGCUGGUAACAUGGAACAAGAAUUUUUGUUUGCACACCAUACUCAGAUUAGUUUAACCAGGAAUAUAUAGAAUUAAAAAGAUGCUCCAAUGUAAUGCUGUACUGAUAACAAUUAUGGCCGUGGUCUCUUAGUAAUAAACUAUCUACACUGGCAACGAUGGAGUGCCAAUCUGGCCACUUGUAAUAAUUAUACCCUCUCCAUUUGAACCAUCCCCAAUGUAAUCCUUCUACACUUUUUCCCAUAAACAGAGAAUAACAUCAUCUGAUUGCCUCUUUUUCUUAAAUAAUUGACUCAAAAUUUCAACAUUUUCCCUUUAAUGUUCUACAGUAACCAUGAAAAGAACUGAAAAUUCUAAAUUGAAAUUUAUGAAGAGUACAUGAAAGUUGUGAAGAGAAAAGAUGAAGACAAAAUUUCCUGAAGACUAAAGUUGAUUGUCCAUAAAGACAAAGAAAGCAAAAAAGCAAAGUUCUUGUUUCUCUUCCCCUAUAAUCCCACCUAAUUUGCACCAAUCUGUGCAAUACAGCAGAUAAACAGCUCCAAAAGCAAACAAGACUAUCCAUAUUUUUUAGAUUAUACUCGCAAUAAAAUAAGCUCCAUAUUACCAAAAACACACGUAUUUUGUGAUAAUUACCAGCUUUUAUAUCACAGGAAAUUAACUCUAAAACUGUUAAGCACACGGCUAAAAAUUAUCCGAGCAAAUCACCAAGUCAACCUUAUACUUACACAGUUAUAAUUCUAGCUCAAGUUUCCAUUUAUUUUCGUUUAGUCAUAUCCGAUUAAAAUCAAAUAAACUAAAAUUUCAAACUCAUGUUCAAAUUAUUUUUCACCUUUAGCUUCUCAAAAGGCGGAGCAUCUUUCACUCUCCCUCCAACACCGGCGGGAGGUGUACACGGAGUCUCUUGGGAUUCGCCUUCAAACUCAGCCAACUCAACUACCGGCAAAGGCUUGAACUGCGGAGGCGCUUGAGGAGUCGAAGAGAGGAAGGAGCUAUGGCGCAGGCCAACAUAAGAGAGGACCUGAGGGGUGCCUCUGAGGAUCUGAGAGAAGAUCUGGAAGAAGAAGGCGAGCCAGUUUAAUAGCGUUUUCCAGACUUGUAUUGUCCGAGGAGGCGGGUAAACUUCAGUGGCCGCCCCCAUCUCCGCCAUUGUUAAUCGAUAUAUUACAAUUCAGACGUCAAAUAUACAAGUGGCUGACAUCCGCCAAGAAAUUAACUGAAAAAGUGUGCACAAAUGGCUAGUUUAGUUCUGUCUAGUUUAGAGAGAGAGCGACGACAAAGGAGUUGUCAAGAUGCAGAAUUGAGCCACAGCGAAGUCUAGACAGUGGAAGAAAAGAAGUCAGGGAGGGAGAGUACAUUGCACGCGUUAAGGAUGAGAUUGCGGGAGUGAAAAUACAAAUUAAUAAAAAUUUAUUGAUAAAUUGCAAAUUUUAGUAAAUUUUAACCAAAAUUGAUGAAACAUGUGAUGAAGAUUUAUGGAUUUCAUAUAAUCUAUAAUAUAUUAAAAUAUCAUAUUAAGGUAGAAUAUUUUUUUUAGAUGAUUUUAAUCCCCUACAAUUCAAUUAUUUCAAUAGUAUUUUACUUAUCGUUUAGGGUAAAUGGCACAAAACAUCAUUACCUUUCAUUUUUUGACAUUUUCGCCCUUACCUUCCACAUUUCUUUGCGCUGAAUGUCAUUUUUACCAUUUUUAAUGUAAAAUGAUCAAAAUACCCUCCCAUUUAAAUAAAACCAAAUAAAAGAAAAGAAAAAUAAAAAAAAUUACAAUCUUACUCCUAAAUGUUUUAAAAAGUGCAAGUGAUCCAAAUAAUUAUUAAAAUGCCUAAUAGCACAAAACGUCCCUACGUUUGGACUAUAGUGUGCAAAAUGUCCCUACAUUUCAAAUUGGUGAAAAUGACGUUUUCAGCAAUGAAACGUGAAAAUAAGGAUGAAAACGUAGAAAAAUUGAAACGUAUAGACGUUUUCCACAAAAGUAUCAAAAGUAGGGAUUUUUUUAGUUAUUGGGCCUUAUUAAAAUAUUAAAAAUAACAAAAAAAAACACACACAUUCUCUCUCUCUCUCUCUCCUCUCUUUUUCUCCAAAUGGGACUGCCACAUUAGAAAUGAAAAAAACUUCGGCCAACCAUCGCUCAAACCUUCGAACCUCCAUAUUCUUGAACCAUCUAUUGAUAUUUUAACACCAUGAAGAGAGGCUCCCUAGUAAGUUUAUUCGUUUAGUGUGUUGAAAAUGGCAUGGAUCUCUCCGGAACAGGUGAUGCCGUCAGUAUUUGCAUUCGCGAGUUAGAUAUUUUGGCUUGCAAUUUCGAACAAAUCUAUUGGCAUGAAAAUUUCAAAGUUGGAUGUUGGGUGGUAUGUGUAGAGAGAAGUGAGAGAUUUUUGGUGGUAUGGUGGUCCAACAGUUUGGGUGAUGGUUUGCUGGAGUUUUUUGGCUUCUAAGGUGGCUGACCCAUCUAGAGGGGGGCGAGGGGGAGCGAGAGAGAGAGAGCUUUUGUUAUUUUUAAUAUUUUAAUAAAAUUUAAUAGCAAAAAAAUCUCUAUGUUUGACACUUCUUGCGGAAAAUAUCCCUACAUUUCAAUUUCUUUUCGUUUUCAUCCAUAUUUCCAUGUUUCAACGUGAAAAACGUUAUUUUCACCAAUUUGAAACCUAAUGACAUUUUGCAUGCUAUAGGCUAAACGUAUGGACGUUUUGUGCUAUUAGGCCUUUUAAUAAUUAUUUAAACUCACUUACACUUUUUAAAACAUUUAGGAGUAAGAUUGUAAUUUAUUCUUUAUUUUCUUAUAAGGUUGUAAUUUAUUCUUUAUUUUCUUUAUUUUUAUUUUUGUUUUAUUUAAAUAAGAGGGUAUAUUGGUUAUUUUACGUUAAAAAUUAGUGAAAAAAAUGUUCAACACAAAGAAUUGUGGAAUGUAAUGGCAAAAAUGUCAAAAAUAAAAGAUAUGAACAUUUUCCACAAUAAACUUGAAAGGUAGAGAUGUGCCAAUUACCCUUUCGUUUUUUAUAUAUAAUAAAUACUAGAUAAUUAUUAUCGUUUAUGAAAUUUGUACUAUUAAUUCUCAAUUAAUUAACAUUCACAUUAAUCUAGAUUCAAUAAAUUUUCACUUGAUGAAUCUAGAGUUAUUAUAGAUGAAUUUAUAAUAAUAUUCACGUAUCUAAAAAUUUUAAUGGGUGUUUAAAUUUCAUAUAAGGGAGAAUCAUUUUUUUGGACAAUUUUAACCCCCUACAAUUCAAUUAUUUAAAUAAUAUCUUACUUUUUGUUUUUGGAUAUGUAAUAAAUACUACAUAAUUAUUGUCGUUUAUGAAAUUUGUGUUAUUAAUUCUCAAUUCAUUAACAUUAACAUUAAUCUAAAUUCAAUGAAUUUUCACUUGAUGAAUNNNNNNNNNNNNNNNNNNNNNNNNNNNNNNNNNNNNNNNNNNNNNNNNNNNNNNNNNNNNNUUGCACUCCAAUGAUUUCACUCCCGAUCACAAUGGAAGGAAAUUAUUUGCAACAACAUAAUUGCCAAAUUUUGUGAGUUUACAUAUGAAUUUCACCAUAUUUAAUAGCCAUCUUUUCCCUCUCUUAAGCGCAAGACAAAAUUAUGGGAAUUGUGUAAAAUCAUUCUGAGAAUAUACAUAUUUAUACCUUUCUAACUCAUUCUGAGAAACUGACACAUCGAACUUCCAUAUAUGAGCUAUUAUCAUUUCCACAUGAAAAAAAUAAAAUAAAUUCUGUCUACUAAUUAAAUGAUCCACGUGUAGAAUAAAACAAAUGGAGAGCACAACCUAAAACUAGGUGAAAGAUUAUUGAAAAUGGCCAUAUAAUUUGGUUAGGAAGUUGACAAAAUCAAAUAAACAUCACUUAGUACACAAGCAGUUUUAUCAUAUAUGUAAAACAAAAUACUGUUUUGCAUUCGAUAUACAAAAAUGGAAAUUACAGACAUCCAAUAAGGUUGGAACUUAUAAUUUAUAAGCAUUGCACAAGGAUCAUACUUUUAAGACUAGAGUACUUGGAAUUUCAGCUGUGUUUACCUGUGCAGAAUAAUGCUAUACAAAAAUUUGUGGCUAUGGCUUAGGGAGACUGCCUUAGGAAAAGAAUAAUUAUA